UCUCCUGGAAAACGGGUGGUAAUGCCGGAUGCUCCGACUCCUCGCAUGGGGUGUCGGGAAAGAUUUCAUCGGUAUGGGAUGGGGUCGCGUCCUAUCAGGUAGUCGGCGGGGUAACGGCCCACCGAGCCUACGACGGGUAGCCGGCCUGAGAGGGCGACCGGCCACAUUGGGACUGAGAUACGGCCCAGACUCCUACGGGAGGCAGCAGUGGGGAAUAUUGCACAAUGGGCGCAAGCCUGAUGCAGCGACGCCGCGUGCGGGAUGACGGCCUUCGGGUUGUAAACCGCUUUUGAUCGGGAGCAAGCCUUCGGGUGAGUGUACCUUUCGAAUAAGCACCGGCUAACUACGUGCCAGCAGCCGCGGUAAUACGUAGGGUGCAAGCGUUAUCCGGAAUUAUUGGGCGUAAAGGGCUCGUAGGCGGUUCGUCGCGUCCGGUGUGAAAGUCCAUCGCUUAACGGUGGAUCUGCGCCGGGUACGGGCGGGCUGGAGUGCGGUAGGGGAGACUGGAAUUCCCGGUGUAACGGUGGAAUGUGUAGAUAUCGAAA
rnacentral:rRNA from 1 species